rnacentral:rRNA from 1 species
AUAAUACCCGAUAGGUCUCGAUUGCUGGAAUGCAUCGAGAUUUAAAGCUCCGGCGCCUAAGGAUGGGUCUGCGGCCUAUCAGGUAGUAGUGGGUGUAGCGUACCUACUAGCCUACGACGGGUACGGGUUGUGAGAGCAAGAGCCCGGAGAUGGAUUCUGAGACACGAAUCCAGGCCCUACGGGGUGCAGCAGGCGCGAAAACUUUACAAUGCUGGCAACAGCGAUAAGGGAACCUCGAGUGCCAGGUUACAAAUCUGGCUGUCGAGAUGCCUAAAAAGCAUUUCAUAGCAAGGGCCGGGCAAGACCGGUGCCAGCCGCCGCGGUAACACCGGCGGCUCGAGUGGUAACCGUUAUUAUUGGGUCUAAAGGGUCUGUAGCCGGCCGGAUAAGUCUCUUGAGAAAUCUGGCAGCUUAACUGUCAGGCUUUCAGGAGAUACUGUCUGGCUCGAGUCCGGGAGAGGUGAGAGGUACUUCAGGGGUAGGGGUGAAAUCUUGUAAUCCUUGAAGGACCACCAGUGGCGAAGGCGUCUCACCAGAACGGACCUGACGGCAAGGGACGAAAGCUAGGGGCACGAACCGGAUUAGAUACCCGGGUAGUCCUAGCCGUAAACGAUACUCGCUAGGUGU